UAUCAACGCAAAGUAUAUGGGUUAUAAAAACAAUUGGGUACAUUUGUUAAUGAGCCUUAGCUAUGAAACUUUUUUUUAUGCCUUUGUGAUU